rnacentral:lncRNA from 1 species
CCAAGGUGACAGGAAACUCAGAAGAGGACAGCAGCUCGUGGACAACCACCUUGAGAGUGUCACCAUUGCUGUUUUACAGUGUCACACACAGCAGUCUCACACGACCAGAGAAAGCUUUCCAGUGUGUAAGUGAUUGUCCUGGGAGAAAGCAGAAGUUGAAAGAAACACACCUUUUAUAAAUUGCUCCAGCCAAAAUAACAGCG